ACUGAGGUGCUGAAGAGGCUCUCACUCUGUCUAAGAGAGUGUCCCGAGCAAGACAAGCAGUCCUAGAUGCCCAGAUUCUUGUUUUGGCUUCGGAUCUGGGCAAAGGGAAAGCAAAGCAGCUGUGCUCAGAUCUGAACUUGUUGGACAUGUUGUGUUGAAACUUUACUGACAUGUAUGGGUGUAAAUCUGCCAGAAGCUGAAGAACUCAUCCGUGAUGAAGAUAGCUCUGAUUUGAAUUCAUAGUCUAUGACUCCUGGAAAAUAUCAGGCAAAAGAGCAGAAAACACCUUUAAUCAAGCCCAUACACUCCACUCUCUGUUGGAUUCAACACAAGGAGAGUUCCUUGUGCCAAAGUCCCAAAUCAUUAGUCCAAGAAAACUUCCUAUGAUACAAAAGGAGACGAUAAUGCCUGCCCAGUUAAAAAGAAGGGAAGAAUCUCAUCAAGAAACAACAAAGAAAGAAGUAGAAAGAAUCUUGGGAUUGUUGCAGUUGUAUAUUCGAGAUGCUACCCAGCGUCCUUCUUUGCCUUUGUGGUUGAUCCACAAUCUUUCCCCCAAACAGUGGAAAACAUCUUUCAUGUUUCCUUCAUUAUACAGGAUGGUUUUGCAAGAGUAAAACCUGACCAAGACCGACUGCAAAUAAUAGAGCCUGUUAAUAUUAAUGAAGAAAGUGAGGAAAUUCACCAAAACACCCAAGUUAGGAAUCGAGGAAUUCUAGCUGUGAGGUACCCUGACUGGGAGGAGAUUGUGAAUACCUUUGAGAUUUCAAAGCCUGGGAUUACUCCAAGUCAGAGACAGCAGAGGCUAAGUGCU
rnacentral:lncRNA from 1 species